UAGAGUGGGCGUGGCAAAAAGUUUUUUUGCAAAUCGAUAGAAAUUUACAAGACCAAUACAACACUCAAAAAAUAUGAAAACAUUUUUCAAAAGUGUCGAAGCAAACGGGCAAGUUGAGCGCGUUAUGGAAACGCUCAAGAAUCUCUUGACUGCGGUGAAAUCAAGUAACAGGUCAUGGCAGGAUGCUCUAGGCGAGGUACAAAUUGCACAGUUAGUAGUGCAACCAAAGCAAGCCCUUUAGAAAUGCUGAUUGGUAAAGAGACCCGUCCCCUGGGCUUGAUGCCACCGUAUGACAUGGAGAUAGAGAUAGAUAAAGAAAAUGUUAGAGACAGGGCAGUAGUAAAUAUAAAUAUUCAGGCUAGUAAUGAUAAAUAUAGAUUUGACAAAAAUAAGGCAGAAGUUGCAAGACAUGAAAUUGGAGAUUUUGUUUUAUUCAAAAAUGAAGAACGCCAUCAAACUAACGUUAACCCGAAAAAUAUAUAUGUAAAUAGGGUUAAUCAUUCGCUUAAAAUUGAUAAAUUUCAUGUAUAAAAAUGUAUUUCAGAAUAGUCUUGACCUUGCGAGGGGUGUUGUGUUUCUGUAGCCAGAUCCUAAGACUUGUGAGUUGGCGGCAGAACUUACUGAAAAUUCCGAACCCAACUCUUAGGCACUUUGCUAUCGCAGUAAAAUUGCCCAAUAACUUGCGUCUUCAGAACAAUCCGGGAUUGAUGUAUGGGCACUGUAGAAUCGGCGAAUUAAACAUUUAUAUCCGAUGUAAUAAAGUGUUCCCAAUUCCCAGGGAUUAGGUUUUUGAUUAGCGAGGAACUCGUGAACCUGGUUAUGGGUUUGGACACAUGUUCUUCGUUGAAGUAGUUUUUAUUCAAGGUUCUUAGAUUCACAUAUUUGGGACUUAACAGCUAGUAGUUUGCUGCUGCGCUGCUUGCAGAGCGUUGACAGCGGCCGGCUUAUACAUAAGUAUAUAUACUCAUACAUAAGAGAGCCCGAGAGACUGUGGGAUCUGCUGACACUUGCACUAUCAAAUGCUCAGGACUUAGAGCUGAUCGCGUUUCGUCGGCCACAUGGGGUUAAUGGCCGGACUCUAUGUUUACGUAACUACAUUGUAUUACUUUGUUCAAUUAGGUCCUUGUACUAUACUACCAUACCAUACCAUACUACACCAAUACAAAUGCUCUUAUAAAA